UACGGGGGGGGCAAGCGUUGUUCGGAAUUACUGGGCGUAAAGGGUGCGUAGGCGGCUUUCUAAGUCGGAUGUGAAAACUCUGGGCUCAACCCAGAGCCUGCAUCUGAAACUGGAAAGCUAGGGUUCUGGAGGGGAAAGCGGAAUUCCUGGAUGUAGCGGUGAAAGUGCGUAGAUAUCAGGAGGAACACCGGUGGCGAAGGCGGCUUCUGGACAGAUACCGACGCUGAGGCACGAAAGCUAGGGGAGCAAACAGG
rnacentral:rRNA from 1 species